UACAGAGGUCUCAAGCGUUGUUCGGAAUUACUGGGCGUAAAGUGUGCGCAGGCGGUCCCGCAAGUCAGGCGUGAAAUCCCCGGGCUUAACCUGGGAAUGGCACUUGAAACUACGGGACUGGAGUAUGGCAGAGGGAGGUGGAAUUCCACGUGUAGCGGUGAAAUGCGUAGAGAUGUGGAGGAACACCAGUGGCGAAGGCGACUACCUGGCCUGUUUCUUGACGCUGAGGCGCGAAAGCUAGGGGAGCAAACGGG
rnacentral:rRNA from 1 species